UGUUCACAAGGUGAUCUCUGGACCGUGGCAUCGGCACUGCCUGGAUGCCUGUUAGAAAUCCAGAUCUCAUGAGCCUGAAGCUGCAGUUUAACAAGAUCCCUUGGGGACCAGUGUGCCCAUUAAAGUGUGAGGCGUGCUGCCCUGAAAUGAUGCCUGUAAAAUGCCAAGCACAGGGCUGGCCCGUAGCAAGACUUCAGUAGGUCUUAACUGCUGCGGUAGGCUGACUAAUGGUCCCCCAAAGAAGUCCACAGUCUUAAUUCCCAGAACCUGUGACCAUGUCGAUUUACAUGGUUCAAGGCGCAUUGCAGGUGUGAUUAGGCAUCUUGACAGACCUCGAGGUUAUCCAGGUGGGCCCAAUGAUGUGAUCGCAAGGGUCCUUCUAAGAGAAGGCAGGGGAAUCAGAGAAGAAAAAGAUGUGAUGGUGGAAGCCGAGGACGGCAGCGUAACGCACUUUGAAGAGGGAGGAAGGGGCUAAGUCUGUGGCUGGAAGCUGGAAAAGGCCCAGAAAUGGAUUCUCCCUGGAAGCCUCCAGGAGGCAUGGGGCUCUGCGGACACCUUGGUUUUAGACUUCUGACCUCCAGAACGGAAACUGUAUUUUUAAAACUCAGAGGCAACAAACAGCUGUUAUCCCUCAUAUUCUUCUGUAACUUCUGUUCUCUGAGGAAAUGAUCUGUCUCUUAAGACAGCUUACGACAGAGAGCAAGACAGAGUCCUCCCCUACAUGGACUCUUGAAAAGCAUCUUGCUGGUGGGAACUCUUCCUCCGCCGUAUGAAGAAGGCCAGGCUAGCUUGCUGAGGAGAUGGGGAUCCACCUAGAGGCAGCGCCAAGCAACAGACACGAUUUAAAAAAAAAACUUCGAUUUUCUGUGAUUUGAAAAUGAUACAUUAAGGUGACUUCCAGGCUCCAUACACAUGGAACCAGAAACCAGAAGCCCUCAGCAUCAUUUUAAAUGAUCCAUCAAACAAGCGAAAGUUUCAAGGAUGGAUAAAGCAAAGAGGAGACCCCCCAGAAACGUGUAAGCGCUCCAACUCACUGGGUCCAACACUGCUCUCUGGGUCCCUGACCCCCACUGUGUCUGCUCCCAGCCUCCGCUGGUGGGUGACAACCUCAUCUUUUCAGUUGCUCUGGCCGGAAACUUUGGAGACAGCCUUGAUUGACUCCCACUUUCUUUCAUAACCCACAUCAGUCUGUCAGGGCAUCCUGAUAACUCUGUUUUGAAAAUACAUCCAGAACCUGAUCACUGACAAUUGCCACCUCGCCACCGUCUCUCUUCUGUGUUGUUGUUGUUUAAUUGAAGGGUAGUCGAUUUACAAUGUUGUGCUAGUUUCUGGUGUACAGCAUCAUGAUUCAGUUACAUGUGUAUAUACAUACAUGUAUUCAUUUUCAUAUUCUUUUUCAUU